GAGCUCGUACAAGCAACCGCUGGCCUGAAAAAUUGGCGAGAGGAAAGUCCGGGCAGCACAGAACACAGUAGUUGUUAACGACAACCGCCCGUAAGGGUAGGGAAAGUGCCACAGAAACGAUACCGCCGUGGUUUUACUACGGUAAGGGUGAAAUGAGCGGGGUAAGAGCCCGCAGGUCGGUUUGGUGACAAAUCGGCGAGGUAAACCCUACUGGCUGCAAGGAGGCCUAGACACCGUGGUUCGCGGAUGGCCGCUCACCGCUAGACCCCGUGAGUAAUUGCGGGGCUAGAUAGAUGGUUGCUGGUUGGCUUCGGCCAAUUACAGAACCCGGCUUAUGGACGAGCUCUUCA
rnacentral:RNase_P_RNA from 1 species